rnacentral:rRNA from 1 species
UACGUAGGGUGCAAGCGUUAAUCGGAAUUACUGGGCGUAAAGCGUGCGCAGGCGGUUAUGCAAGACAGAUGGGAAAUCCCCGGGCUCAACCUGGGAACUGCAUUUGUGACUGCAUGGCUAGAGUGCGGCAGAGGGGGAUGGAAUUCCGCGUGUAGCAGUGAAAUGCGUAGAUAUGCGGAGGAACACCGAUGGCGAAGGCAAUCCCCUGGGCCUGCACUGACGCUCAUGCACGAAAGCGUGGGGAGCAAACAGG